GGAGUCUCUGGAAUGGUAAUGGCUGAGCUCAGGCCCCUGGGCUGCUGCUUACAAGCUGUAACCCACAGCCAGUUGCUCUGUGCCUCUGAAAAGACUGAUCAUUAUAGCACACUUAAUUAAAUCAUAGCUCCCACCCCAAAGGGUCGUCAUGAGUGCAGAGUAGGCUGGUGUUUGUGUUUGGCACUGAAUGCCCCAGGGUUGACAAAACCCAGUUGUUGCCUCUUUUAUUUUUGGCAAGGCCUCUUGUAGCUAAGGCUGCCCUCAAACUAUAAAAGGACCCUGAGCUACUGAUCCUCCUGUGUCCACCCAAGGGCAGGGAUUGUAGGCAUGCACAACCAUGCCUAGGUUUAUGCAGUGGUGGGGAUGGAGGCCAGUCCUUCAUGCAUGGGUAAGCACUUCCAACUAAGCUACACUACCACCUCCACUACUGCCUUGUGACAUCACACACAGCCUUCUCUCUAAGGGACCAGGUGCCCUGCCCUUGCUGCCCUGUAGCAAGAUCUCUCACGCACUGCACUGCUCCUGUGUCAGCGUCUUCAAGGGGACCGAGGUUCCAUCUGGAUAGCUUCUCUCAGACCAGUAGGAGAACACAUAAGAUUCCAGAGCCUAGACAUUCCCAUGCUUGUCUUGAGCAGGUCCCCACCCUUCUCUGAGCUUCUGUUUCCUUAUGACAAAGAAAUCCCUGUUUUGUUUUGUUUCAUUCUUUUUUUUUCUGCAAACCUCUGUUCCAGAACGGCCCUGCUGCAUAGGGGAUUGGUAUUGCAUUGUCUUCUGCAAGUAGAGCCCAACAGUUUGGAUGAGAAGAGAGACCACAGGAUGAUAAAGUGGGCAUCAGACUGAAGGUGAAAGGUGUGUGUGUGGCGGGGGUGGGGUGGGGGUUAUUUUGGUAAAGGAUGGUGGUAGAAGGAGAGGUGUGCAUGCUGUGGGGGCGAGGGCAGAGCAGGGUGGAGGGCAGGAAGAGAGAAUUGGGUGAAUGAAGGUCAGAACUUCCAUGCAGAAUCCAGUAAGGGAUGGAAGCCUUGGCUACUUCUCCAGCUGCUGCAGGGGAGUAGCUAGGAAGAGGAGGCCCUAAGGGGAGCAGAGGUGAGGAAACCAGGCAGGCAUCAACGCCUGCAGCCUGACAGGAGGGGGUUAGGGAAUUCUGGAGAGGAAUAGGGAGGAAGGCGCGUGGGUGGAGAGCUGCCUAGGAGCAGUGAU
rnacentral:lncRNA from 1 species